AUACGGGGGGUGCAAGCGUUAAUCGGAAUUACUGGGCGUAAAGCGCGCGUAGGCGGUUUGCUCAGUCGGAUGUGAAAGCCCAGGGCUCAACCUUGGAACUGCAUACGAUACUGGCAAACUAGAGUGUGAGAGAGGAUAGUGGAAUUUCCGGUGUAGCGGUGAAAUGCGUAGAUAUCGGAAGGAACAUCAGUGGCGAAGGCGACUGUCUGGCUCAACACUGACGCUGAGGUGCGAAAGCGUGGGUAGCAAACAGGAUUAGAAACCCGAGUAGUCC
rnacentral:rRNA from 1 species